rnacentral:rRNA from 1 species
UACGUAGGGUGCGAGCGUUGUCCGGAAUUAUUGGGCGUAAAGAGCUCGUAGGCGGUUUGUUGCGUCUAUCGUGAAAACCUGCAGCUUAACUGUGGGCUUGCGGUGGAUACGGGCAGACUUGAGUUCGGUAGGGGAGACUGGAAUUCUUGGUGUAGCGGUGAAAUGCGCAGAUAUCAGGAGGAACACCGGUGGCGAAGGCGGGUCUCUGGGCCGAUACUGACGCUGAGGAGCGAAAGCGUGGGGAGCGAACAGG